GACAGUCCGCAAUCCGAAAUUCCUUUUACAAGUGUGUGCAGGCUCUGUUAGGUCGGCAGCUUAAGUGAAAUAUGUGCAAGUACCGGUAGGUACGUCGGUCGGAAUCUGCGUUUUAGAAAAAUUUGACAAGAGCUGUGAUAAUAAUGGCUUCGAUGGAAGGUUCAUUGAGCAAAUGGACAAAUGUUAUGAAAGGCUGGCAGUAUCGGUGGUUUGUUCUGGAUGACAACGCAGGAUUGUUGUCAUACUAUACAUCAAAGGAGAAAAUGAUGCGAGGAGUGCGACGGGGCUGUGUUAGGCUGAAAGGUGCUGUCAUAGGGAUAGAUGAUGAAGAUGACAGUACAUUUACUAUAACAGUGGAUGGAAAAACUUUCCACUUCCAAGCGCGAGGUGCUGAUGAACGAGAGAAAUGGAUUCGUGCGCUUGAAGAUACCAUUCUGAGACAUGCACACAGAAUGCGAUGGGAUCCCAACAAGCCUCCACCCACAGUUCAUGAGUUUGACAAGAAACUUGUUGAAGCAGAUGCAUAUCUACAAAUUCUUAUUGAUCAAAUCAAGGCAUUAGAAGUCAGAAUGGAUGGUAUGUCAGAUCUUGCAGAGAAAGCUAGGUGUGAGGUUGUCCGUAAUCAUGCUAAUGAUAUGUUAGAGUCCAUAAAGCACUCCAUUGUCAUGCUUCAGAUAGCAAAGAAUACGGCACAUCCAGUGAAUGGAGUUUACCAAACCCCAGACACUUCUCCGAUGUCUGUGGACAAUACUCAGGCGCCCCGCAAAGAUGUACAACGGCAAGGGGUGAACGUGUCAUCAGUGGGCUGUGCCGUGUUCCACGAAGAGGAAAUAGAGGAAGGUCUUCAGACGGGAAUCGAAGUUGGGGCCGAGUGUAUGGAGACGAGGCGACAAGGUCCCGUGGCGACUGUUGGGUCCAGAUCGUCACUAUCAAGUCUGAGUGCUGCGGGCACGAGCCACAGACCAAGCAUGAAUCUGAUUGUGCCUGCAACUUCAUACUCCAGUUCGGAAGAAGAAGAUUUUUACGAUGCCAACGAAUACAGUGACACUCCCAGCAGCACGACCAGUCCAACCAUUGGGUUACGACCAUUUGUGGAACCCCCAUCAGUGGAAGACUCCCCUGAAAACUCAGCUGGGCAGGAGCAAGCAUCCUCAAGUGUCAACAAGAGCAGAGUGUCUGGGACAGCAGCUCCGCCACCAGUCCGGGAUGAUGGUUCCCUCGAUUAUGAUGCCCUUUAUGAAGAUGAGUCUGACCAUGAAUUAGAUGGCUUGGAGAAUCAUGGAUCAGUGGUAUCUCACCUAAUCUCUCAGGUUAAAAUUGGGAUGGACCUUACAAAAGUGGUUCUCCCAACCUUCAUCUUGGAAAGGCGAUCCCUACUAGAAAUGUAUGCUGAUUACUUUGCCCAUCCAGACAUUUUUAUAAGUAUUGCAGACUUCCCAGAUCCCAAAGAGCGCAUGGUGCAAGUAGUACGGUGGUACAUGUCAGCAUAUCAUGCUGGAAGGAAGAGUACUGUUGCCAAGAAGCCGUAUAACCCUAUCAUUGGUGAAAUUUUUAAAUGCCAUUGGGAUAUUCCUGGCAUUCCUGCAGAUUCAUCCUCAUUAGUAACAGAUGGACCUGUACCCUGGUGUACAAGAAAUCAACUCACAUUUGUAGCUGAGCAAGUCUCUCACCAUCCACCAAUUUCAGCCUUCUAUGCAGAACACUAUAACAAACGCAUCAGUUUUUGUGCUCAUGUAUGGACAAAAUCGAAGUUUCUAGGCCUAUCAAUUGGUGUGCAUAAUAUUGGUCAGGGCUGCAUCUCUGUGCUGGACUAUGAUGAAGAGUACAUUGUCACAUUUCCCAACGGUUAUGGCAGAUCCAUCCUUACUGUUCCUUGGAUUGAAUUAGGUGGUUCUGUGACUAUCACAUGUGCCAAAACUGGUUAUAGUGCUAAUGUUGAGUUCCUAACGAAACCUUUUUAUGGUGGAAAGAAAAACCGCAUUACGACUGAAGUUUUCCAGCCUAAUGACAAAAAGCCUUUCCUCUCAAUAACUGGAGAGUGGAAUGGACGAAUGGAAGCGAAAUGGGCAGAUGGGAGGACAGAACCAUUUGUGGAUGUAAAUAAGAUCCACGUUGUAAAGAAGAAAGUGCGUCCUAUUGCUGAACAGACUGAAAAUGAGUCACGAAAACUUUGGAAAGAAGUUACUGCUGGCCUCAGCAAUUCCUUGCCGAGAAAAACAUUCCUAUCAUCACUCAGCCACCGUACUCUCUGGAUCUCACUCCGAGUGACUUUUGGCUGUUCUCUACUCUGAAAAUGGGCCUCAGUGGGACAUAUUUCCCAACCAUGGAGGACAUCAAAUUGAAUGUGACAGCUGAGCUCCGGAAGAUAGCAAAAGAAGCCUUCCACCUAUGCUUCCAACCAUGGCAGGAUCGAUGGAGCAAGUGUGUGUACGUGCAAGGGUCCUACUUUGAAGGUGAUUAGGAUGAAAGACAUUGAUCGUGCUACUAAUGCCAAGUUUGCAUUGGAACAAAAGCAAAGAGAUGAGGCCAAGGAUCGGAAGGAAAGAGG